rnacentral:rRNA from 1 species
UACGGAGGGUGCAAGCGUUAUCCGGAUUCACUGGGUUUAAAGGGUGCGUAGGUGGACAAGUAAGUCAGUGGUGAAAUCUCUGGGCUUAACCCGGAAACUGCCAUUGAUACUAUUUGUCUUGAAUUCUGUGGAGGUGAGCGGAAUAUGUCAUGUAGCGGUGAAAUGCUUAGAUAUGACAUAGAACACCGAUUGCGAAGGCAGCUCACUACACAGCGAUUGACACUGAGGCACGAAAGCGUGGGGAUCAAACAGG